rnacentral:rRNA from 1 species
AUACAUAGGGGGCGAGCGUUGUCCGGAAUGACUGGGCGUAAAGGGAGCGUAGGCGGUCAUGCAAGUUAUAUGUGAAAGCCCGGGGCUUAACCUCGGAACUGCAUGUAAAACUGCAUGGCUAGAGUGUGGGAGAGGAAAGUGGAAUUCCUAGUGUAGCGGUGGAAUGCGUAGAUAUUAGGAGGAACACCAGUGGCGAAGGCGGCUUUCUGGACCACAACUGACGCUGAGGCUCGAAAGCGUGGGGAGCAAACAGGAUUAGAUACCCUGGUAGUCCACGCCGUAAACGAUGGAUACUAGGUGUAGGAGGUAUCGACCCCUUCUGUGCCGGAGUUAACACAAUAAGUAUCCCACCUGGGGAGUACGGCCGCAAGGUUGAA